GACUGUAGGUAGCUCUGUGCCUAUCUUUUCACUUGGGGAGGCUUGGUAGGGUGAGUCUCAAAUCCCUCUCCACAUUUCCCCAGGUUCUUUGCUUCUUUUUGUCUAUGUUUCUCCUGAACCACAGAAGUGGAUGCAUAGUGGGUCAUACUAGGUAACUACAUUGUCAACGACAACGCGAUCCAACAAAAUAUACCUCCCCAGUUUUUCUCCAGAUUAGUUGAUGAAUCUCAGGCUGGAUACCGGAUUUCUAAUGUGUGAUUAUAUGAGUAACGGCACCGAUGUGCAGUCAACGGUGUGGACACAAAGAUGGAGGGAUGUCUCGUCCAGGUGAUGGAGGAUGUCUAGCCCACUGUCUCCAAGAGGCAGCGCGUGCCGAUUCCUCGUUCACUCCCUCAGGUUCCCUGACUGCGGUGUUCUCUUUGCCCUGGUGCUGUGCCCUCUGUAGAUUUCUAAUUCAGCACUGAAACCCUGCCCAGUGCUUCUCGGUCCUGCAUCAGAGUCAAGUGUGAAUCCUCACUCAGCUCUUCAAGGCCUGCAAGACCUGGGCCCUGUUUCCUCUUUGACUUUGCCGUUAGGAUUGUCCCCUUCAGCCACUCACCCCCGACUCACCUGGACUGCUACAGUCCGGAUCUUGUCAGCCUGGCUCCCUUCUCAGCACCUCAGCUCUAGCUACUCCAUCUGCCUGGAAUGCUCCUCACUCACAUCGGCCUGACUAACAUGCUCCCUCCAUUAAGGCUGGCUGAGCCCUCACCUGCUCACAGAGACCUGCCCAGGCCUCCAUCUUUCAUAUUGCUAAGUGCAGGCAUCCUCUCCCCACCCCCACCCCACCCCCAUGUUCCUUAUCCCUUUACCUUGGCCUAAAUUGUCUGUCUGGUAUGCCACUCACCAGCUAGCUGACUAUGUUCUUUACUUCUUUGUUAUGUGCAUUGCUUAUCUCUCGCCUCCCCCAUAGCCCCUGCUUGAAUACAAGCUCCCUGAUCUUAGGGAUCAUUGUCCCUUGUUCGCUGGUGUAUCUCAAGCAGCCCAGAACUUUGCUGAGCACACACUGGAGUCAGCCGGACAGUAUCUGUUGAUGUGAGGAAGAGUCUGUCUCCCCCACUGCAUUGCGACAGCCUUGAGGACAAGGGCCUUGUUUCAUUGGUCUCUGUCAGCCCCCUUCCAGGACACUUUCUGAUACAACUGGACAGACACUGCUGAAUAUUUGUGGAAUGAAUGCAGCUGUCCGGCAUUUUCAUCCCGUCUCCAGCCUCUUAGAAGCUCUUCAUCCCAGGGAUCUCCCCAGCCCCUUUGGACAAAGGUUGGUGUCUUCCACCCUGAUUUCUGCCGUGACACAGGGAAGGUGACCGCUCAGGGUCCCUGUGAAUGAUGGCGCACCUCCACCCAGCAUUUUGAUAUUCUGAAUUGCUACAAAAAACCACUGACAAUAUUUAAAGAAAAAAAACCUACAUAACAAAGUAUUCCCAUGGACUCUAAAAUACAAGCAGAUGGACACCAAGAAUCACAAGAUCUAUCUACGUAAUAUGGGUCUUAUCUGUAGGAGAAUAAAGCUUUGAGCUAUUUUCCACCCUG